AUACGGAGGAUCCGAGCGUUAUCCGGAUUUAUUGGGUUUAAAGGGAGCGUAGGUGGGAUAUUAAGUCAGCUGUGAAAGUUUGGGGCUCAACCUUAAAAUUGCAGGUGAUACUGGUUUCCUUGAGUACGGUACAGGUGGGCGGAAUUCGUGGUGUAGCGGUGAAAUGCUUAGAUAUCACGAAGAACUCCGAUCGCGAAGGCAGCUCACCGGGCCGGAACUGACACUGAUGCUCUAAAGUGCGGGUACCAAACAGGAUUAGAUACCCUGGUAGUCCGCACAGUAAACGAUGAAUACGUGUUUUCGGCGAUAUAAUGUCGGAGGCAAAGCGAAAGCGAUAAGUAUUCCACCUGGGGAGUACGCCGGCAACGGUGAAACUCAAAGGAAUUGGCGGGG
rnacentral:rRNA from 1 species